GACGUUGCCGAGCGCAUGGUUGGCAAAAUGGCUGAUGACAUACGCAAACAGGACAAGGCCAGUGAUCAGCCGCACCUGUCGAAUUCCGAUGCCGCGAAUGAACCGGCGAAGGGGUGAUACGGCGGUCUCUGCCAUGCUGAAAAGGGUCCGAAGCCGGUGAGUAACAACUGAAUUUAUACCGCGCCCGGAUCGUNNNNNNNNNNNNGCGGCGGAAUCCUAACGGAGACUUGGGUUCUGCGCCAUGGGCGACCGCGCGCUUGCGCGCUC
rnacentral:misc_RNA from 1 species